rnacentral:lncRNA from 1 species
ACAACACCCGUAGAAUAUAAACUCUAGGCGCUAGGAACCGCGCCGGCGUGUAAAAUACCGGCGCAUCUACACAUCGCAUUCACACAUAAAUUCACGAAAACUUGGAGGUAUUCAGCCUGCCCCACCAUUUCCGCUUCACGGAGUUGGGUGAUGACUCGUUGCCACUCCCAAGUUUGUUCAGGAUCACCUUCGUCUCCCUGAUGCGGCCGCCGAAGUCCUUCUUCCACGAGUCAAAGUUCUGCUUCAGCCUCCGGAGCUCCAUGUCCGGGUUCAGGCUGGCAUCCGCUUGCCCGGACUUGACCUCAACUAUGAACGUGGCAUCAUCAGCAAAGACCUGGCUCCGCUGCUCAAAUUCUUCUGUUAGGCGGUUGAUGACGCUGAGCCCCGCAUUCAUUUCCCGCCCGGUGGUGCGUGGUACCAGCUGAGACCCACUGCCAACAUGGUUUCCAUUGAUCUCCCAGCUCUGAUCCACGGAUGAGUCCGACAUCCUAGGGGUCUCAUCCAGAGCAAGGC